CGCUCCCUGCAAACACUUGUAUAGGGAGUCGUUCCUGCUCAAUGAUGUACGCAUUCAAUAGCAGCGGUAAACUUGACCGUUCGAAGGUAGUGUAGUCCCUAGCCCUUUAAUAGGGGGCCAAUGAAAGGAUUGACGGGCUCACAUUGUCUCGCCCUUACUCAAUAUAAUUUAGUUUUUAGAUGAAGAAGUCUAAAUUUUAAAGAAAGACGAAAAGACCCUAUCAAACUUUAAUAAUAUUUUAUUUUAGCGCUCUGUGUGAUUUUAAUAAAGUUUUAUUUUAGUUGGGGCAACUGAAAAGGAUAAAUACUUUUUUUAGUUUUUUAUUUUGAGAGAGGUUAGAUCCAAUAAAUUUUGAAAAAUGAAUAAGUUACUGG
rnacentral:rRNA from 1 species